ensembl:lncRNA
AUGAAUUUGCAUUUCACUGUGAAUUCUGGUUUGGACCCUGACUCAGGAGUUCUUUUAACCUAGACAUUCAUGGAUGAAUUUCUGCAGGUCUAAGGAACCCUGAAAUUGUAAUCAAGUUUGUAUGUUUUUCAGCAUUUGUGUAUUAUUUUUCUGGAAGGAAUGGCCAGACUUAUCAAAUGAGUUACCAGGGGUUCUCAAAUGGGUUUCUGACCUAAGAAUACAUUUAAGAACUCUGCCUUAGAGGAAUGGUUCUCAAGGUGUGAUCCCUGAACCAGUAGCAUAAGCAUCUCCUGGGAACUUGCUAAGAAGGCAUAUUCCUGGCCCCUUCCAAGACCUACUGAGCCAGAAACUCUGAGGGUGGGCCCGGAAAUCUGUGUUAAUAAGCCUUCCAGGUGCUUCUGAUGUGUGCCCACGUUUGGGAAGCACUGCCUCAGAGCAAACACAAGCAUGAGUGAUGUGGCAGCAGGGGCUAUUCGCUGACCUGGGUGGGGCAUUCACAGUGGAUGUGGUGUCAAGGAGGGUAGGGAAAAUCUCAGAAGCCCAAGGUCUUCUGUGAGUGCUCUCAGGAAGGACAGAUGCUUUGAACUGAGCAGUAUUUUGGACAGGGCAUUCACUAAGGGCUUCUGCAGUCCUCAGGACAGGCAUUUCUGGAAGGUGCUGGGGUCUCGACUUGCAGCUGAGAAGAUGCAACCUGUAGACUCAUGCACCAAUCCCACAAUGCCUCGAGGCCAGUCUCCCCCUCUGUCGUAGUUUCUCCUGGGGCUGCAUUUUAGAUAUCUUGUUUCAUCCAAGUACACAGACCUCUAAUGACUUUUCCACAGAGGAUAACCUGCCUGGGCUCCCAGGGCAGUUAGCAUCCACUGACACCCUGGCUGCUCCCCACGAGCUGCCAGGGCCUCUGGUCCACACCUCACCCAGUUGACACUGCAGCCGUGCAGCCUGUGCAGGAUUCAUGCCCACAAUGCCAGUCUCUUUCUACAUCUUCCUGGGAGCGUGAAAGGGAACGAACGACCUGCGGCGCUGAGUGAUGGGAUUGGUGGGGGUUCCUGUUCCCCACUCCCCUGCUGCCCUCCCUCCAGACACCCAGGCUCAGGUCCGUCUUUCUGCAAAGUCACAAAACUGGAAAGCUCUUGGGGUAGGGAGAGAGCAUGUGCCUGCUGGUUGGCUUGGAAAGGUUCUGGGAAUUCAUUAUGAUCUAAACAACUAUUCCAGUCAUUCCUGUGACUCAGCGCCUGCCAGCAGGAUCUUCCUGUGUGCACGGGGCCGGGGGUUGCUGACUCAGUGCUGAGGAGGGCACCUUGUCAGCGCUCCUGGGCUCCCAGCUCCUCCUGCCUCCCCUUCGUCCCCAGAGGACACCAAAGGGAAGCAGGCAGUGGGGGGAGCUUCUCAGCGUGUCCAGUUUCACUUCUAAACCAGCAUCCAGCCUCCUCGAGUUACCACUCUGACCACGUACAUCUGUUAGUCUUCCGGGCACUUUGGCGAGGAAGCCAUCAGGAACAGUCACACAGGCAUCAUGCUUCACGUACCCAAUUAACACGUGUUUAGCCAGCACCUACUAUGCAUCCAGGACUGGGAUCCAGAGAGAUGUGACUGUAUCUACCCACAACUUUCAGAGGUCUGGCGGGGGAAAAGCCCUCGCAGUCCCGCAGGAAGUAAUGGAGAGAGUGCUGCAGCAGGGCUGUGGAGAGCCGGGGCCGCUGAGCAGCAAGCGGCAGCAGGCUCAGUGUCCCCGAAACUGCAAAUGAACUGCUGGCGCUCUCCUCCUUCACGUGAGAAGGAGAAGGAGAAAAGACAGAUCACAUGCUGCCGGAUGAAAAUUAAAGAAGUGAGGACACCAACAUGGCAUCUACUACGUACCAAACCUUUACAUAAGGGGAAACUGAGGCUUGGAGAAGUUAACUAACCUCUCUCCAAGGUCAUACAAGCGGUCGGUGAGGUAACAGGACUUCAGACCCAGAUCCCUCUGAAUUCACCGCCUGGGGCCUGUCCCCGGCACCACCUGCUGUUUCCAUUUUGAGUCCAGAUAUCAUCUGUCUUUAGUGUCUACUGUCUCAACCUCUGUAAAAUGGAACCUGAUAUUGUCAUGCAGGACUGUGAUCACUAUCUCCUGUAAUGUUAGAAUUAAAACACUUAAUCAUAACUCCAAGCAUACUUUCGUAGUCACUUAUUCAUUCAUUCAAUAAAUUUAUAUCGAAUAUUCAUCUCCUUGUGCCAGACUCAAGGCCCUGAGAACACAGCAGUCAAAAAGGCAGGCACUGGGGCCAGCCCCAUGGCCUAGUAGUUGAGAUCAGUGCACUAAGUUGUGGCAGCCCAUGUUGGUUCCGGAGUGUGGACCUACAGCACCUGUUAGCGGCCAUGCUGUGGUGAUGUGCCACAAACGAAACAGAGGAAGACUGGCAGUGGAUGUUAGCUCAGGGUGAAUCUUCCUCAAGCAAGAAAAAGAGGAAGACUGGCGACAAAUAUUAGCUCAGGGUGAAUCUUCUUCAGCAAAAAAAAAAAAAAAAAAGGUAGGCAUGGUCCCUUCUCCCCAUGGAGCUUUCAGCAUAAUGGGGAGAGAAAACCAGGAAAUAAGAGAUAGAACCAACCAGUUUAUUAACAUUGCAGUAAAUGGUAUAAUAAUGACAGCUAAGACUUCAAUUACACUUACUAUGUCCCAAGAACUAUUCUAACUAUUCUAAAUAUUCCACAUAAAUUAAUUCUGACAGGCCAAAGAGGGAAGUGGAGAAAUCAAUGAAGGCUCCUGAAGGACGUGUCAGCUCCACCUGAAAACAGGAUGAGUUGGUAAUGUUGAGGAGGGCGGGGCGGGGAAGCACAGGACAGCCUAGGACUGUGUGUCCAUGUGGCCACUCGCCACCCCAGGCUGCGGAGCGAGGAAUGCUCAUCUGAACUGAGGUGCCCUAGGAGUAAAUGCGACCGGCUUUCAGACUCGCACUGAAAAGAACGUAAAACACCUCAUCAAUGUUUUGUAUUGAUUGCAUGUUGACCUGAUGAUAUUUUGGAUAUAUUGGGUUAAAUCAAAUGUAUUAUUAAAAUCAAUUUUACCUGUUUCUUUUUACUUUUUAAAAUGUGGCCACUAGACAAUGUUGAAUCGUGUGUGUAGCUCACGUUGUACUUUGAAAGGACGGUGCUGUCCUAGAAGGGCUGGGAGCCUCAGGGAGCAGGCACAUCAGAGCCGCUGUGGGGCACGAGGGGAGGAGAGAAAGAGGAUGCCGAAGGCUGGUAUGAACCUCCAACCUCUAUUCUGCGGAUCACACAGAGUGAUUUUAACCUCUGUGAACCCCAAAUCUGAGAUGCUGGGGCGCACUGACUUACUGGAAAUUGACUCUUCCUCCAAACCAGCUCUAGCUGUGAGCCAGGGAACGGUUAAUGCUCUUCGUGAGUCCCAUAUUGUAGAUGGAAGAGGCCAGAAAAAGCAGGGCAGCGACCUGGCCACAUGGCCGAGUGGUUAAGUUCGCAUGCUCUGCUUCGGCAGCCCAGGGUUUCGCGGGUUCAGAUCCUGGGUGCAGACAUGGCACCGCUCAUCAGGCCAUGCUGAGGGGGCGUCCCACACAGCAGAGCCAGGAGGACCUACAACUAGAAUAUACCACCAUGUACUGGGGGGCUCUGGGGAGAAAAAGAAGAAAAAAGAAGAUUGGCAACAGAUGUUAGCUCAGGGCCAAUCUUUAAGAAAAAGAAAAAAGAAGCAUCGGGGCAAAAACGUAAAGAAAUAGAGGAACAUCUUAGGGUAAAAAUCAAGCCCCUAACAGUGGCCCCCCAGUCCUGUACAUGGCUCCUGCCUGCCUGCUUCCCUCUCUGAUAUCUCUUACCUGGCUCCUCCCUUACCCCAUCUCUACUCCAGUUACGGUAACCUCUUUCCUGAGGCUUGAACAUACCAGACAUGCUCCUGCCUCAAGACCUUUACACUGGCUAUUCCCCUUGCCUGAAACAUUCUUCCUCCAGCUAUCACAUGGCCAACUACCUUAACUUGUGGUUCAAAUGUCACCCUCCAAUACGGCCUACCUUAACCAUCUUAUUUAAAAUUGCAACCCCCAUUGGUACUCUCUUACCUGACUCUUGUUUUUCUCCAUAGCAUUUAUUACCUUCUAACAUACUCAAUAAUUUACUCUUUUAUUAUGUUUCCUGUCAAUCUCCCUACUAGAAAGCACACUCCCUAAAGACACUGAUCUCAGUUUUAUUUCCUGCAUUAGCCCCAACACCCAGACAGUGCCUGGCACAGAGUAGCCACUGCUCAGUUAGCACUUU